rnacentral:rRNA from 1 species
AUUGAACGCUGGCGGCAUGCCUUACACAUGCAAGUCGAACGGCAGCACGGGAGCAAUCCUGGUGGCGAGUGGCGAACGGGUGAGUAAUAUAUCGGAACGUGCCCAGUCGUGGGGAUAACGUAGCGAAAGCUACGCUAAUACCGCAUACGAUCUAUGGAUGAAAGCGGGGGAUCGCAAGACCUCGCGCGAUUGGAGCGGCCGAUAUCAGAUUAGGUAGUUGGUGAGGUAAAGGCUCACCAAGCCGACGAUCUGUAGCUGGUCUGAGAGGACGACCAGCCACACUGGGACUGAGACACGGCCCAGACUCCUACGGGAGGCAGCAGUGGGGAAUUUUGGACAAUGGCGCAAGCCUGAUCCAGCAAUGCCGCGUGCAGGAUGAAGGCCUUCGGGUUGUAAC